rnacentral:rRNA from 1 species
UGGGGAAUUUUCCGCAAUGGGCGCAAGCCUGACGGAGCAAUACCGCGUGAGGGAGGAAGGCUCUUGGGUUGUAAACCUCUUUUCUGGGGGACGAAGAUUGACGGUACCCCAGGAAUAAGCAUCGGCUAACUCCGUGCCAGCAGCCGCGGUAAGACGGAGGAUGCAAGCGUUAUCCGGAAUUAUUGGGCGUAAAGCGUACGUAGGCGGCUUAUCAAGUCUGGGGUUAAAGACCACAGCUUAACUGUGGGA